UUUUGAAAGUCCAGUGGAAAACAAGAGCUCAGAGUGAUGGUUUUUCAUUUGCUGAGUUGCAAGAGGGUUCAAGGAAUUUUUCUAUAAACCCUUCUAAGAGCAGUACAGCCAGAAAUGGUGGCUUUCUCCUCAGUACCAGUAUGAAAUGGGUACAGUUUUCAAACCUACACGUUGAUAUUCCCAAGGAUUUGACCAAGCCUAAGAUAACCAUCUCUGAUGAACCAGAUACAUUAUAUAAGCGCCUGUCAGUUUUAGUAAAAGGCCAUGAUAAGGCUGUAUUGGACAGUUAUGAAUAUUUUGCAGUGCUUGCUGCGAAAGAACUUGGUAUCUCUAUUAAAGUACAUGAACCUCCAAGGAAAAUAGAGCGAUUUACUCUUCUCAAAUCAGUGCAUAUUUUCAAGAAGCACAGAGUUCAGUAUGAAAUGAGAACACUUUACAGAUGUUUAGAGUUAGAACAUCUAACUGGAAGUACAGCAGAUGUCUACUUGGAAUAUAUUCAGCGUAACUUACCUGAAGGAGUUGCCAUGGAAGUGACAAAGACCAAAUUAGAACAGUUACCAGAACACAUCAAGGAGCCAAUCUGGGAAACGGUACCAGAAGAAAAAGAAGGCAAGUCCUAAUCUCAGCGAGUCUGCUGGUGCUGGUCUUUGACCCAAGAGGAGGUCAGAAAUGUAUGUUGAGAUAGAGAGGCUCGACCAUGAGUCUACCUGACUGCUCCGUGGAGCCCGCGUGACCGCACAUGCCCUGAUCAGCUCACAGCAAGGGGCCGAACUUCAGUGACACACUGGACUAGAGUGAAAAACCACUUGACCUGUUCUUCUGUACACUCAUCCUUUCAGUUCUGAUUUUAACAAAUGUGAGCAAACCACUUUGCUGUGUGCCAAGAGAAUCAAGUUUGUAUUUUGUUACUC